rnacentral:rRNA from 1 species
GUGCCAGCAGCCGCGGUAAUACGUAGGGGGCAAGCGUUAUCCGGAUUUACUGGGUGUAAAGGGAGCGUAGGUGGUAUGGUAAGUCAGAUGUGAAAGCCCGGGGCUCAACCCUGGGACUGCAUUUGAAACUGCCAAACUAGAGUGCAGGAGAGGUAAGUGGAAUUCCUAGUGUAGCGGUGAAAUGCGUAGAUAUUAGGAGGAACACCAGUGGCGAAGGCGGCUUGCUGGACUGUAACUGACACUGAGGCUCGAAAGCGUGGGGAGCAAACAGGAUUAGAUACCCUGGUAGUCC